CAUUAUUAAUUGUGGUAAACCUUAUCUGGCAGUACUUAAGAGUGCAUCUUUGACUUUAUUACUCGAGUGAAUGCACCUUCAAACCGGUUUAACACCAACAUGUCACAGUAAUCAAUACCAUCUGUGUUAAGAUGUCGGGAAUGUGUUAGACGAAUGAUUUUGUUUUAUGGAGCUUUGAAGAGCGAUGAAUGGCACUAAAGUGGUGCCAAAUGGAUAUCUCAAACACCCAUUGUUGAUGUGUGAUGCUGAUAAUACAGAGACAGCUAGAGUGACAGAGUUUGAUGAAUAAACUUAAAUUAAAAAACAGAAAUAACCACCAUCUCUCUCAGAGGUCAUCUUUCUCAUUAUUGUGGGAAACCUCAAAGGGCAUCAGGAAAACCUUCAUCAACCUCUUUGUGCCCAGUGGCUUGUGCAACAGUGUUUCAGAAAUUAUCAUUAAAAUGGGGAUAAUGGAUGACUGGCCACACAUAUGGGGCUAUGGACAAGCUUCAGAGCAGGCUGCCAGGUGGUGGUGUUAGUAGUUUAUACUCCGGGUCCCGGCGUGAGCACAUUGAAGGGUCCCAGAGUGACAGUUCAACCACCCACACCUAUCCUGGGCAGAACCAGUACUAGGUGCCUUCACCUCUGCAAGGAACUGACAGCUUCUGUACAUGCCAGGUGCAGUGGUACAGUGCGAAUGGUCGUAGAAAGGAUUUCAUAACCAAUCACAACAGAGGUCACCUGGUCCGCCCGGGAAUCGAACCCGGGAUGUCCAAUUCAGAGUCCAACGCUCUACUGAUUGAGCUGACCGGGCGGACAUAUUAGCUACAUUAGAUGACAAGCCAUCUAUGCUGGACAUUCUUCACAAUAAAAUGUGAUGUCACAGGAGCUGUCUAUCUCAACAGCUCACACUGUCCGUAUUUGACUAAAAGAAUGAAUGAAGUCACUGCAGAAGUUAGAUUGAGGAAUGUCCAUGUCACUACCCAUCAUUUGGAAGGAGUUGGAUAAAAAAAGUGUGGCCUAUGUAUUGAAACAGGUCCGAUUUCCAGUUACGGACAGUCUUGUUUGUCUGAUUACAUUUUUGACCAACAUGAUGGUCUAAAAGAACACUUACUGGUAACUGGUAAAAUCAUGGCCCAGUUGUUCCAAGAGGCAGGCGAGUGGGAAGUUACUAGACUCCAUUUCUUUAUGGGUUGAUCUGAGGUUCCAGUUCAGUUAAAGUACUGAUAGAACACCAAGUGUUUGCCAUAAUACAGCAACAUUUCAUUUGUAACUAUGUAUUUGUUUGAAUUGUUGAAACAGUACUGUUUACUAAAUAAUGUGUAUGUAUAUGAAGAAUAAUAUUAUAAAUAAUUUGUAAGAACGUUUUGAUAUUAAGUAAAAUGUCGAUAAGUCUAAAUAUGUAUCUGCGAAUCAUUUUUGUAUAUCUGUAAAGAUUACAUUGCCUAUAUUCCUCAAUUUAUAUUUUUCUUUUAGCCAGUCAAUAACUUUGUUAAGUUCUAUCUUCAAAAUUGUCGGGACAGGGAUUAUAGCCCUUAAUUAACCCAAAUAUGUAACAUUCAAUGCAAAAUUGGCUGCAAUUAGGCAGUUCAGAUGCAGGAACAAACAUCACUUGGGUCCUUAAUAAUAGCUUUCCAUCUGACAUUGAAGAUCCAAUAAAAGGAAUUUGUCAUGUGACUGUUUAUUAACUCUCAAUUUAUUGAAAGUGAAAUUACUUACAUGAUUUGUAAGAACUAAAUUAUAAUGAUAUCAAAUGAUUGUUUAAAUUAAAUAAAAUAGAUGAUUACAUACAUGAACUAUUUUUAUUUCUUGUUUGUCAAUAUGAAGAGUAAUGCAAUGGCUUUUGAAUUUCAUAAAAAAGGAUGGAAAAAUGUAUGUUUAUUGUUUAUAAAGCAAUUAAUUAAGUAAUAAAAGUUGUUUUUUUUUCUUUUUUUCAAAUUGUGCUAUCUUAUAAUACAGAUCGUUAUUUGUUUAAUUUUGGUACAAAUGAAGUAUAUAAGGUAUGUCUAAUGUUACAAAUAGCAAAAAUUCAAAUGCAAAUCAUGGUGACUUGACUAAAUGUGAAUGCUAAUUGAAUCAAAAUAGUUAAUAAAUAAUAAUGUUCAUUUGAAACAAUUGAGAGUAUA